CAAGCUUCCACACUGCUUGCUCUGUAAAUUUAGUGUUCCAUUAGCUUGUCUCAAAUGCAAGUACUAACAAGCAGUCUUUUUUGUACAAGAACUAGUAAGAACAAUAUGUUUCCAAAAUACUUGUAAAGGCAUAAUGACCUCACUUCCAAAAAUAGUCCUGAAGCAUAUUGUAGUUAAUCAUCCCUCUAAUCAAUCCUCAAAGGCGAGUCUGCAUAUUCUGAAAAAAGAAGAAGAAACAAUUAACAUAUUUAAAUAUUAAAUAAUAUAAAAAAUAACUAUACUCAUUAACAAUUGAAUAUAAAUUAUUACCUUCUUCAAUUUGCUUAAUUUUCUGGACUUCUUCUAACAUGUCUUCAAACUUAUAUUCCUUGGAAGGUGAUCGUAUCUAUUGUUGAGUACAAAUAAGUGCUUCCACUGUUUUUGGUGAUAAAGAACUCCUAUAAGAAUUCAGAAUUCGACCACCUGUACUAAAAACCGACUCCGAUGCAACAGUAAAAAUAGGAAUAGAAAGAACAUCCCUUGCAAUCCUUGAAACAAUUGGAUAUUUACUAGAUGAAACUUUCCACCAUGUCAAGAUAUUAAAAUCAUUGAUCUUCACCACAUCAUCCAUCAAAUAUAUCUCAAGAUCAGAUUUUUUUAUAGUAUUUCCAUCAUCUUCCAAAAGUUUCUCCCCCUUUGAUUGCAACAAAUCACCAACUUCACUCAUACUAGUAUCGCCUCCAAUAUUGUCAUUAGACUCCUCAAAAAAAGAAUCAUUGUAGUUAUUAUACAAGCGAUUUAAAAUGCUUAUCACAUCUUCAGACUUCAAUCUUCCCAACAAAGAACCAAAUGCACCAGUAAGAAUGAAGUUUGCAUACUUCAUCUUGUAUCUAGGAUCCAACACAACAGCAACAAGCAAUAACAUAUUCAUAUCCUCAAACUUACCCCAAUAUUUCUCAAGCUUACUUUUCAUUCUUCCUGCCAUAUCUUUCAAAGUACAAUCAUCGCUUUUGGUAUACUUUAUAAUAACAUUUCGAUGAUUGAAAAAUUCAUGGAAGAAAGAGUUGGAAGUAGCAUAUAAACUGCCUGAAAAUUUUAAAGUUGUCUGAUAGAAAAUGUUAAGAAACUUGAUAAAAGCUUUCACAUUCUUCCAGUCGUCUGCAGAUGGAUUUCCUCUUAAAGCACUUAUUUCUCGACAAUACUUUUGAUACUUAUGGUCAUCCACAUACAUUUUUGUAAAGACUUUUUCAAAUUUUAGAGCUGUAUCUAACAUUGUAUAUGUGGAGUUCCAUCUUGUUUCAACAUCAAGACUUACAAGACCAUGAGUAUUUAUCUUAGCUUUCUCAACAAAUGACUUGAAAGAAGCAAACCUUGAAUGAGAAGACCUAACAUAUUUUACUGCAUUUCUUACACGAGAAAUAGGCUCAAUUUGUUCAUCUAAUCCAUCUUUUUACAAUCAAGUUUAAAAUAUGAGCAUUGCAUCUAACAUGCAAAAACUCAUUUUCAAGUAUUACCCUUUUCCAAUCAUCAAUACGUAACUUCAAAUGCUUAAUGGCAGCAUCAUUAGCACUUGCAUUAUCCAAGGUCACUGUAAACAAGUUCUAAAUGCCCCAACCAAAUAAACAUGCUUCAAUUCCCUUUGCAAUAGUCUCACCUUUGUGAUCCGGUGUUGGAAAAAAGUUCAAAAUUUUCUUUUGUAGAUUCCAUUGAUCAUCUAUCCAAUGUGCAUUGACAACCAUAUAAGUUAAGUUUUGUAGUGAUGUCCAUGUAUCACAGCUGAGACAUACACGUUGGUUCUUAAUAAGAUUUUUAAGUUUUUCCUUCUCUUCAUGAUAAAUCCUCAAACAAUGUCUAGCAACAGUUACACGAGAAGGUAAUUCAAAAUUAGGUAAGGCUUUAGCCAUUAAUUUCUUAAAUCCUUCUCCUUCAACAACUCUAAAAGGUUGCUCAUCAAGAAUUACAAAUUCGGCAAUCGCCCUCCUAAUAUCAUCCAUAUUAUACACUACCCUUUCAGUAACACCCGAACCACCAUCUAGCCACCCUUCUUUGAUAGGUUUUAAUGUUGUUUGUCUCUUAUCAAUGACUCUAAAGGGAGAUUUAUGACAUGUAGAAUUUAAAUGCGACCAUAAUGUAGUAGUCUCAUUCUUGCUACCUACAGCAAAUGUUUUAGGACAAUAAUUACAUGUUGCCUUACAUUUACCUCCUUUAGCAAUAAAUUUGGAAAAGUGAUUUCAAAUCUUGGAUGUCUCUCUGCCACUAUUCCCAGAUUUUGAAUUUUCUGAUGGAGUCGUUCUUUUUUUUGCUUCUUAGGAGGAGUGCGUCGAUGAGGAGUGUCUUCACUUUGUUUUUGAGCUGCCACUAGCGAAGGAUUAUUGACAACCACCUCCGCAUCUGCUCCAGAAGUUGUAGUUUCCAUUCUUAGAAAGAGUUCCUGCAAAAGUGCAAAUAGAAAAUAUCCAAUUACUUUUUCAUGAAAUGCCAAAUGAAAAAGAGAACAAAAAGAAAAAGGAGAAGAAAAAAAAACACCGGACGAUAAUAGUUUUGAAUUUGUAGAACAACCAAUUUUGAAAAAGGGAGGAAUACAACAAAUUUGCUAAAUAAAAACUACACCAAAAGCUAAGGCAGUCAUAAAAAGAAACCCUUAUAUCUGUGAUGCGAUGCCUGGUUGAUUGAAUCAACAAAUGAUGUUGGUUUCUAAAUCUUAAGGAGAAAUGGAGCUCUGGAUAGGCAGCUAGUGAUCUUAACUUCAACGAAGAGCAGAAAUAUAUAAAAUUAGAUGUCGUAACUUGUUGAUUUCUUACCGAUGAGUGUAGGUUUCUUACCGAUGAGAGCAAAAG
rnacentral:lncRNA from 1 species